rnacentral:rRNA from 1 species
UACGAAGGGGGCUAGCGUUGCUCGGAAUGACUGGGCGUAAAGGGCGCGUAGGCGGAUGGCACAGUCAGAUGUGAAAUUCCUGGGCUUAACCUGGGGGCUGCAUUUGAUACGUGUGAUCUAGAGUGAGGAAGAGGGUUGUGGAAUUCCCAGUGUAGAGGUGAAAUUCGUAGAUAUUCGGAAGAACACCAGUGGCGAAGGCGACUACCUGGUCUGGCAUUGACGCUCAUGUGCGAAAGCGUGGGGAGCAAACAGG